rnacentral:rRNA from 1 species
GGAACAAAAUGGCUUGUCAAUGGAGACUUUAAUCAAAUUUACCGUGCUAGAGACAAAAACCAAGCUAAUGUUGAUCGUAGCCGUCUUGUGCGAUUUUGGAACACUCUUGCAAAUUGCAGACUAAAAGAGAUUCAUCUUGAGAACCGGAAGUUCACUUGGAGCAACGAGCGCUCUAAUCCAACAUUGUGUAAACUCGACGAAUUCUUCUGCAACGAUAACUGGGAUAUCGAGUUCGGCUCCCAUAUUCUACACGCUUUAUCAUCUUCGCUCUCUGACCACUGCCCGUUACUGCUGGCUAAUGACGAUGGCCCGCGGAAACCCAAAACCUUCCGCUUCGAGAACUACUGGACUAAGAUGCCCGGAUUCAAAAAGGUUGUCGCUGAUGCUUGGGUUGAGGACUCCAUUCAUGUGGAGCCAUACCAAUUUUUCCACAGGCUAAAGACUACAGCUGCUAGACUUCGCUCCUGGAGCAAGUCUCUUUUCUCAAACGCAAAGAUCCAGCUUCACAUGGCUCUCGAGGUGAUCCUUCGUCUCGAUUUGGCCCAGGAACAUAGAGAACUCUCCCAUGAUGAAUGCGAUAUUCGAAGAAGGUUAAAGAGGAAGAUCAUUAGGUGGGCUGUUUUGGAAAAAUCAAGAAAGAGGCAAAAUUCGAGAAUAACUAAUCUGAAAGAGGGUGAUGCUAACACCCGUUACUUCCAUUUGCGGGUCAACCAUCGUAGGCGAAAAAAAUUUAUUCACCGCCUCAAGCACAACGGUGGCUGGGUCACGGAACACAAGCUUAAGGAGAACAUUAUCCACUGUCACUUCAAGAACAUCACUAAAAAAGGCCCCGCGUGCAAAACAGAUAUCAACUGGGACAUUCUUCCUAUUCCAGAUUGCGACCUUCAUGAGUUGGAUGAGGUCAUCUCCGAGGAGGAGGUCAAAGCCGCAGUUUUUUCAUUGCCAAGCGAUAAGGCACCGGGUCCGGAUGGCUUUACCGGGGCCUUCUUCAAAUCUUGUUGA